rnacentral:misc_RNA from 1 species
GCCUAAUCUUAACCCCUCAUCUUCUCUAUCGCUCUUGCCAAAAUCUGCAACUCCGCUCUCAUCUUUCUGCUCAUCUUGAUAGAAGAAAUGAGCGCUCAAUUAAGAAAUUAUGAUUGUGCAACUUACAAGAAUGAAGAUAUCGACCUAAGGAAAGGUCCAUGGACUGUGGAGGAGGAUGCCUUACUUACCGAGUACGUUUCCAUCCACGGUGAAGGACGCUGGAACGCUGCUGCUCGCUGCGCAGGAUUGAAACGGAC